rnacentral:rRNA from 1 species
GAUCCUGGCUCAGGACGAACGCUGGCGGCGUGCCUAAUACAUGCAAGUAGAACGCUGAAGGAGGAGCUUGCUUCUCUGGAUGAGUUGCGAACGGGUGAGUAACGCGUAGGUAACCUGCCUGGUAGUGGGGGAUAACUAUUGGAAACGAUAGCUAAUACCGCAUAAUAGCAGUUGUUGCAUGACAACUGUUUGAAAGGUGCAAUUGCAUCACUACCAGAUGG